AGUGAACGCUGGCGGUAGGCCUAACACAUGCCAGUCGAACGGCAGCACAGUAAGAGCUUGCUCUUACGGGUGGCGAGUGGCGGACGGGUGAGGAAUACAUCGGAAUCUACUUUUUCGUGGGGGAUAACGUAGGGAAACUUACGCUAAUACCGCAUACGACCUACGGGUGAAAGCAGGGGAUCUUCGGACCUUGCGCGAUUGAAUGAGCCGAUGUCGGAUUAGCUAGUUGGCGGGGUAAAGGCCCACCAAGGCGACGAUCCGUAGCUGGUCUGAGAGGAUGAUCAGCCACACUGGAACUGAGACACGGUCCAGCCUCCUACGGGACGCAGCAGUGGGGACUAUUGGACAAUGGGCGCAAGCCUGAUCCAGCCAUACCGCGUGGGUGAAGAAGGCCUUCGGGUUGUAAAGCCCUUUUGUUGGGAAAGAAAAGCAGCAGGUUAAUACCCCGCUGUUCUGACGGUACCCAAAGAAUAAGCACCGGCUAACUUCGUG
rnacentral:rRNA from 1 species